rnacentral:rRNA from 1 species
AUGCAACAACCCUCAAACUCACUAGAUAUGAAUAUCCUAGACCUUGGCCUAUUCCCUUCCCUACAUUCCAUGUUUGAUAUGCUGGUGUCUAACAGUUUAGAUGAGCUAAUGAACAAUGUGCAACAUGAAUAUGAUGCAUAUGAUGCCGAUAAGAUAAACAAAAUUUUCCUAACACUACAAAGUUUCUUAAUUGAGGUCAUGAAGAGAGGUGGAGACAGUGACUACAAGAUCCCUCACAUGUACAAGGAUGGCCUAGAACGAGCAGGAAAUCUUCCUAAUGUUUUAGACUCUGAUCACGAACUAUAUGAGAGUGUCAUGCAUGCCUUAGCCGACUAG